UUUAGACAUUUACAGUGAGCUUUUGCAUCAAUUAUCCCGUUUAAUCCUUCAACAAGCCUGUGUGAGGUUAAUGGUAAUUUUAUCCCAAUUUUGCAGAUGAAAAAACUAAGACAAAAGGAAAUAAAGAGACUUGCUGAAGACCACAUGGCUGGGAGAUAGCCGAGUCCCGGGCAGCCUGAAUCUAACAUUCCACGGUCUUUCCACCAUGUUAACCUACAGAUGUUUCUCCGUCACACAUUCCACCACUGAGCUGCCCUCCCUGACAAGCCAUCUCCUCGCUAACAUCUCUGCUGCCACCAAGGAAGACUUUUGUCCAUUGUGCUGCCUUAGUGGGAGAGAGGAUUUGGAGGAGAAUCGGAUUUCCUUUUUGCAUCUGUUUGCCAGUGCCCAACGCACCCUGGGAUGUUAACAAACAGUGACAGAUGAGCUUCAGUUGGCCGGCGUUCGUGGGGAACCACUGGACCAGAAAGCAUCAUUGAAGAUGAGCCAGGGAGGGGGAGAGAGGCUUCACUUCAUGGAAACCUGAACAGCAUCCUGCCGAAACCAGCCGCCGCACCCUAAUGAAGAGGGGCUCUGCAGUUUUCCGAGUGCCUCGCAUCCAUUAUCUUCCACGACCCACAGACAGGCUUGAGCAGCAGGCUGACCUGCCCAACAGCCUUGGACCAGCAGGGCCAUUGGAAAGCCAAGGUCUGAAAGAGCGAGGCUCAGAGACCACCAGAGACAUCUUGACUCAUGGAAAAAAGCAUGACUCUUCCUUCCCAGGAGACUUAUUAUUCUAAAAAACAAAGUUCUCGAGGUUUCAAGUUUUACAGUAAGGAUCUAAGGAGCCACAGUGAAGACCAGAAUCUUUGUUCCCACCACCCGGGACUUUACUUGGAAUAAGGAUCUCGGCAGAUGUAACUGGUUAUAAGGAUCUUGAGAUGAGCUCAGCCUGGAUGAGGGGCCCCUCAGUGUGAUGGCACGUGUCCCUAGCACGUGAAGACUCCAGUGAAGAUGAAGGCUGAGGUAGGAGUGAUGAGUCCCCAAGCCAAGGAAUGCAGGGAUUAUUGACAAUUGUGGAAGCUAGGAGAGGGGCCUAGGACAGAUUUUUCUCUCAGAGCUUUCAGAAGGAGACAAUCGUGUUGCACCCUGAUCUCAGACUUCCGGCCACUGGAAGUGUCAGAGAACAAAUUUCCAUUACUUCAAGCCACCCAACUGUGGUCAUUUGUUACUUAGGCAGCCCUAAAAAAAUGAAUAUAACUGGGCAGUGUAAGGAUACAAGGGAAGCCCAGCUGGGCCAUAGAGUCUAGGAGGUCAGGGGGCUCCUUAGCCCUCACCAUCACAUGUGGAGUCCCCACUCUGCAUCUCUCCCUGGCAACGCUAUGCUCUGACUUCAACUGCCACCAGCCAACCCAUUCCUCCUCCUCCGUGUGCCUCCCUCUCAGGCCCCGUGUGGCGGUUUCCCUUUGCUAGAGGCUCUGCAGCCUGAGCUGCCCAGUGUCCAUCUGCUUGGUGGUCUUUCUGUGUCUGCUACACACGCUGACCAGCCAACUCUCUCAGUUGGCUGAGAGACAUUCAAACUGUCCAUGAGAGUUGAGCAGACGAUUUAGCUCACCACCAUCAUCCUCCAAGGGCAAAGCUUUCAGCCCAGGCCAACUCACAGCCAGUAGCCCUCGGGCCUGCUCCUCCAGCUGUGGCCAGGGAGGCUGCUCAGGUGUUCGCAUCCACAUAGGGAGACUCUGGGAGGGAUGCACCUUCACUGCUGAGACUAAACUUCCUAUGUGUGUGUGUAUUAAAAUC
ensembl:lncRNA